GCUUGCGGCGUGCUUAACACAUGCAAGUCGAACGAGAAAGUUACCUUCGGGUAGCGAGUAAAGUGGCGCACGGGUGAGUAACGCGUAGGUAAUCUACCCAGGUAUCUGGGACAACAUCGGGAAACUGAUGCUAAUACCGGAUACGUUCUUUAUAUAGCGAUAGAUAGAGAAGAAAGGUGGCCUCUCCAUGGAAGCUACCGUACCUGGAUGAGCCUGCGUACCAUUAGCUAGUAGGUAGGGUAAAGGCCUACCUAGGCUUCGAUGGUUAGCGGGUCUGAGAGGAUGAUCCGCCACACUGGCACUGGAACACGGGCCAGACUCCUACGGGAGGCAGCAGUGAGGAAUUUUGCACAAUGGGGGCAACCCUGAUGCAGCGACGCCGCGUGAGUGACGAAGGCUUUCGAGUCGUAAAGCUCUGUCAAUAGGGAAGAAGUGUGUAUUGGUUAAUAUCUGAUACAUUUGACGGUACCUAUAAAGGAAGCACCGGCUAACUCCGUGCCAGCAGCCGCGGUAAUACGGAGGGUGCGAGCGUUGUUCGGAAUUACUGGGCGUAAAGGGCGCGUAGGCGGCUUAUCAAGUCAGUUGUGAAAGUCCACGGCUCAACCGUGGAAGUGCAAUUGAAACUGGUAGGC
rnacentral:rRNA from 1 species